rnacentral:rRNA from 1 species
UACGAAGGGGGCUAGCGUUGUUCGGAUUUACUGGGCGUAAAGCGCACGUAGGCGGAUCGUUAAGUCGGGGGUGAAAUCCUGGAGCUCAACUCCAGAACUGCCUUCGAUACUGGCGAUCUAGAGUCCGGAAGAGGUGAGUGGAACUCCUAGUGUAGAGGUGGAAUUCGUAGAUAUUAGGAAGAACACCAGUGGCGAAGGCGGCUCACUGGUCCGGUACUGACGCUGAGGCGCGAAAGCGUGGGGAGCGAACAGG